AUGCAGUCGCCCUGAUGUCCAGCAAACACCGUCUUCUGGGUUCCCGUCUCGAUGUCCCACAGAACGCUGCAAGGACAGGACACGUCAGUCUGAGCCCAGAGAGGAGCUGCAGCGGCUUCAGGUUGUAGAUGGAGCACAUGUUGUCCAGACCGCCGCAGGCCACCAUGUUUCCUGACGGGGCGUACGCACAGGUCAUCACCCAGGACGACUUCAGGGGGAUGGCGUUCACCUGCAGACACACAGGGUACCAGACACUGAAGACUGCAGCUGCACAAACACACGACCAGGAAGAAGCGGCGCCAUGUGACUCACCUGUCCAGGUGUCUGCUCGGAUCCUACGUUCAUCCACCGCUGCAGGACGAAGCUCCGUCAGCGUCGGCGUCCAGCGCUGCUCUGAGGAACAGAUGAGGAUUGGAGGGAUGAACAGAUCAGCGGCGAUGAGGAUAAACCCUGGAUGGACAGAAACAGGGCUGGAGGGGGAGAGUCGGAGGAAACCAAACAAGGUGCAGAUCAGCGCUGACGGGUCACAAGACGAGAUCUGAGGUGAAUUAGAACCCGGCCAUGGAAACCAGGGGGGGGGGGGGGGGGCAGGAAUAAUACAGACUUGGAACAUGGCUUUUUAUGGUCUGUCAGAGGCCUCGCAGUGGCAGCAGGUUGGUGUUUUGUAAACCUGAGGUGAAGCUAAUAUUAGAAGAUAGGAAACCGGGAUCCAGAGGAAAGUUCUGCUUCAGCCCGACUCCAAACAGAACAAUGUGCUGUGGCUGAGCUUAAUCUGAGAGUCAAAGCUCCACUUUCUGUCUUUUUCUCCUGUUGGGCCUAAACUCCUCUUUGGUUCCUCAGGGUCUGUUCUGGUUGGACGUUCUCAGGGGAAGUCAACCUCCAGCUCAGAUCCAUUCUGGAAUAGAACCUUCAACCCGACUCAUUUUCAGCCCUGGACUUUCAUUCCUCAGACCGGCCUGCUUUAGAUCACCACCUAUUACUAUUAAAGUCGUGUAAUUCUAGCCUUGUCUUGUAAUUCAGCAUGUUUUUUCUAAAAUAUUUCCAAUUCAGUGCAGUAAGGGUUGCUUCACAAUGAGGAUUUAUUCCAACAUGAGUGCACAUCCCCAACAUUAUUCUUUACAACAAUAUCAGAAUCUAUAUUCUGUUCAAAUAAGUGUUCAAGGAUAUCCAAACCUUAAAAAUAUAAUAAAAGGUGUUGCACUUUC